rnacentral:rRNA from 1 species
CCUACGGGUGGCUGCAGUGGGGAAUAUUGGACAAUGGGCGAAAGCCUGAUCCAGCCAUGCCGCGUGUGUGAAGAAGGCCUUCGGGUUGUAAAGCACUUUCAGUGGGGAAGAAAGCCUUGGGGCUAAUACCCUCGAGGAAGGACAUCACCCACAGAAGAAGCACCGGCUAACUCCGUGCCAGCAGCCGCGGUAAUACGGAGGGUGCGAGCGUUAAUCGGAAUUACUGGGCGUAAAGCGCGCGUAGGCGGUCUGAUAAGCCGGUUGUGAAAGCCCCGGGCUCAACCUGGGAACGGCAUCCGGAACGGUCAGGCUAGAGUGCAGGAGAGGAAGGUAGAAUUCCCGGUGUAGCGGUGAAAAGCGUAGAGAUCGGGAGGAAUAACAGUGGCGAAGGCGGCCUUCUGGACUGACACUGACGCCGAGGUGCGAAAGCGUGGGUAGCAAACAGGAUUAGAUACCCCUGUAGUC